rnacentral:rRNA from 1 species
AUUGAACGCUGGCGGCGUGCUUAACACAUGCAAGUCGAUCGGUAACGCGGGGGCAACCCUGGCGACGAGAGGCGGACGGGUGAGGAACGCUUGGGAAUCUGCCUAUCAGCGGGGGACAACACGGGGAAACUCGUGCUAAUACCGCAUACGCUCUACGGAGGAAAGCCGGGGACCGCAAGGCCUGGCACUGAUAGAUGAGCCCAAGCCGGAUUAGCUAGUUGGCGGGGUAACGGCCCACCAAGGCGACGAUCCGUAGCUGGUCUGAGAGGACGAUCAGCCACACUGGGACUGAGACACGGCCCAGACUCCUACGGGAGGCAGCAGUGGGGAAUAUUGGACAAUGGGGGAAACCCUAAUCCAGCGACGCCGCGUGGGUGAAGAAGGCCUGCGGGUUGUAAAGCCCUUUCGGUAGGGACGAAAGCUCUCGACCUAACACGUCGGGAGGUUGACUUAACCUACAGAAGAAGCACCGGCUAACUCUGUGCCAGCCGCCGCCGUAACAC